CUUCCCGGCCCCAGGCCCCGGCUCCGGAUCCGGCCCCAGCGCCGCGCCGCGCCCCCGUCCCGGUUCCCUUCCCUUCUCCCCGUCACUUCUCCCGUCCUCUCCUCCCAUUCGGUUCUCUACGCCCUCUCGUCUCUUCCCCUUCUCGCCGCUCCCUGCUGCUCACCUCCUCCUCUUCCAUCUUCUUUCCAUCCCCUAUUCCCCUCUUCUCCCUCAGUGCCCUGGUCUCCCUCUCGCCCCUUCUUUUUCCCAACCGUCAUCUCCAUUCCCCUCUGCCUUUCUCCCAUCCUCUUCUUCUCGCCCCAUCUCCAUCAUUUUCUCCCCAGCUCUUCUCCCCUUUCUCUUCUCCUUACCCCUUCUGCUUGAUCUCUCUCCAGCCUCUUUACAUCAGAUUCUCCUUCCCCACCUCUCCUUUUAUCCUUUUCUUCCUAUCCCUUUCUCCCCGUCUCUUCUCCCCACCUUUCUCCCCAUCCCCUUCUCCCUGUGUCUUUCGCCUCACCUCAUCAUCCCCUUUUCCUCACGCCUUCUCCUCAUUCCCUUUUCUCACCCCUGCCCUUUUCACUACCCGCUGUCUCUUCCCCUUCUUCCAUCGUAACCUCGGCCUUCUCCCCUGUUAGUCACUUUUCAUUAUCCCAUGAUUUCUGUCUCUUUUCUCUCCUUCACCCCCAGGCUCCCUUUCCCCCACUUUCUCUUUAUCCCAAAUUUGAGGGUAGAGAUCGGGAGAUAUUGGAAAGAAGAGCUUUGGGGAUGGUGGUCCCACUCACGAUAUACUCCCUAGAAAAAUUAAGUGAGGAGGAAACCGGGCAGGGAAGUGGGAAGGGGCUCAAAAAACCAACUUGGGAGAGAAUAUGGGGAGAGGGGAAAUCAGACAGAGACAAAGAGCAAGCAAUCUUAAAGGAACUGGGAAGAGUUCUGACUCCUGUCCUUCUUCCUUAGGACUGCGAGUAGACUGUGAGAAAAACAGGUUUUCUGGACUUGAGAUGUGUACAAAUGGCACAAAGAAAUCAGGAACUUCUGUGGAGAAGGAACACAGUUUCAGCUGAAGAAGAAGGGAGUGUGAUUUUGGAAGAGGAGUGAGGGAGAGACUGGGGUCCUUGAUCAUAUCCACGGCGCUUGGGCAGCUGGGUGGAUGGAUGGUGGUGAGGCUGGCUGUGCUCCACAAAAGGAGCAGCAGGAGGCUGCAGGGGGUUCGUAUGAGGAGAUGAUGACUGUGACUUGGGGCUGCUGACUUUGAAGUGCUGGUUGGGUAGGUAGGUCUGCAACUUAGAGGAGCGGUCUGGGAUGGACAUAAAUAUUUGGGAGUCAUCUGCAAAUGCCGUAUAAGCUUGAAUAUAGGGUGAAGUUUUUGCUUUUUUGUUUUUCCAAAAUCAUCCCUCAGGAAAGAGGGAGUAACCUUAUAUUUGAGUCCUUACAAGGUCUCUCAUAUUACAGGGUUUGCUCUCAUUUACUUUAUUUUGAACAACAAACCACUGGAUAGGGCAGUAUGGUAUGGUGACUAAGCUUGUGGACUCUGGAGCCAGACUCCCUGGCUCGGGGUCCAGACUCUCCUAUUUACAAGCUGUGUGGCACUGGGAAAGUUACUUAACUUGUCUCUGCCUCAGUUUUCUCAUCUAUAAAGUGGGCCUAAGGAUUAAAUUAUGUAAUAUAUAUAAAGCACUAUAUACCUGGCACUAUAUGGUAAGUGUCCAAUAAAUGCUAACUAUUUUUACUGUUUGGCUAAGACCCAUUGACCUGAAAUGUCCUCAACAAUGCUAUUUUGGAUGUAUUGUAGUCAAAGAAAUUUAACACAGCUUUGGUAACUAUUCCUGGUAGUAUGACCUCAUAAUCGCAUGUGUUGGAUGUCUCAAAAUAUGCUUUUUAAAGAUUGCUUUAAAAAGCAAUACAGUAGUACUUGGAAGAGGUUUCUGGGCUGCCGAAAAUGUUCUAUUUCUUGACCUGAGUGGUUAUAUGGACCUGAGGGAUGUUUCACUCUGACAGUUCAUUGAGCUGAAUAUUUAUGAUGGCUUGUGGCCUUUUCCAUAUAGAUGUUAUAUUUCAGUAAAAAAAGUUAACAGAAAUAUAAUUUUUAAAAAGUAUUACAUUAAGUGAUGUUUUGAAGUCAUGAAUAUACUCAGGCAGGGUGCAUGCAAAAAACCAACUGUUCUAGUGUGAUGCAAAGGAAACUUGUGACUUAGGAUAAAGUUUCCAAGGACUGCAUCAUCUGUGAAUUCAAACUGUGCUGUGUCCUCUCCCAAGCCCUUCGCUUAAACUGAAGAGAAGGACAUCUGUUCUGGGAAAACAUGUAAGAUGGCUGAAAAAGUGAUCCUAAUGAUGAGAAAGACACUGCUUGUGUUGAGUAUGCAUAAAAUUGCUUCAUAAUUUAUGAGAAUGGAAAAGACAAUAUUUAUCAGUUAUAUAUUUUUAUAUGAUAUAUGAAUUUAAAUAUAUGUCCAAUAAAGUCCAUUAAC
rnacentral:lncRNA from 1 species